UGUGUGUGAUUGAUCCGCUUAUUAACGCCUGAUGUUUUAGCCUCUCUUUCACACAUCAUGACCUUUGACCUUUUAAACAAGUGAGUUAACGCACCAAGCGCACUCAAACACUGAAUAGGGGGAGGAGCAGCCACUCUGACUGAUUAGGGGGAAUUAGUCACACACAUGCAGCGUGUAAAUCCGCUUCACACACUCUGUAACAGGAAAGCAGGCACGCAUUACUUAAACACACACACACACACACACACACACACACACACACACACACACACACACACACACACACUCACUCACUCACUCACUCACUCACUCCUGUUCCUAGACACAUCACUCAUUUUACUGAAACACACACGUUCAGCAGCUUUGAUCAAACUUUCAUCAGAAAGCAUCAAAUCCCCCGCUGGAGACAAUCAGACACGGCUAAAUAUGGACACAUGCUACUGUGGAGCAAAAGGGCACACUGACACACACACACACACACACACACACACACACACACACACACACACACACACACACACACACACAGGUUUCCUGCUUUACCAUUAAGAGUGGCUUAUGAUCAGAGAAACACUUCCAAAGUUCACAGCAGCGUGUUGCUCAGGAUCUAUAGAGCCUGUUAAUAUAGACUAUUAUUACACACACAGAGAGAGAAGGUCAUGCAGGAGAACGUGCAGAGGAACAGGAACCACUCGCUUUUACUUGAAGCCACCAGAGAUCGUGAACACUCAGGAUAGAUCAGCAGGAGCUGUGUGUGUGUGUGUGUGUGUGUGUGUGUGUGUGAGGGCCGAGGCAGGUGGAGUGACUGAUACGGGAGAUUUAUUUAGAGCUGGAAGUCACGUGGAUUAAAUAUUGUAAUUGACCCUGAGCUUAUUGAUUCUACACGGAGCUUCCUGAAAACGUAAUAACCUCGAGGACACGCAGAGACCGAACUAUCCGUCUGUCCAGAACCCCGAGAUACACACAGAUCCACAGCACCAGAGGAUCAGAGCGACUCCGAGACUCUACACUGAGCUCCGCAACACACAGGAGAACCAUCAACCUGACACCAAACAGAGGGAGGAGAAGAGAAGAGCAGAGCUUUUUGUGUGCAGGAUGAGCUCGAGUCUCCACUGCAGCUACAGCAGCUACACAGGAUGAGCUCAAGUCUCCGCCUCAGCUACAGCAGCUACACAGGAUGAGCUCGAGUCUCCGCUGCAGCUACAGCAGCUACACAGGAUGAGCUCGAGUCUCCGCUGCAGCUACAGCAGCUACACAGGAUGAGCUCGAGUCUCCGCUGCAGCUACAGCAGCUACACAGGAUGAGCUCGAGUCUC